rnacentral:tRNA from 2 species
GGGCUUAUAGCUCAGUAGGUUAGAGUACACCCCUGAUAAGGGUGAGGUCCCUGGUUCGACUCCAGGUAAGCCCACCA